rnacentral:tRNA from 1 species
AGUAGGUUGGCAGAAUAAUGUGAUUGACUUAGGAUCAAUAUAUGAGAUUUACCUCUCACCUACUA